rnacentral:misc_RNA from 1 species
ACAGGGGGGCCUGAUGGCCCCAAGUUGGGAGAGGCCCUCGUCCCCGGGGGCCCUCCCCAAAUCCAGUGGCGGUUGCGGUCCGGUUCCGAGCGCAGUAGACUUCUCUCGCUCCGGGGCCCGGGCCGUGUGCCGGCCAGCAAGACACCACCGUAAAUUC